AAGGAUGGAGUUUCAAAUAAGAAACUUAUGAAGAAACUACAAGAGUCAAAAUUUGAUGCUGUUAUUGCAGAUGCUAUUGUUCGCUGUGGGGAGCUGCUGGUUGAGCUAUUUUAACACACCCUUCAUGUACAGUCUCCCCUUCCCUGUUGGCUACGCACUUGAAAAGCAUAAGGGAGGAUUUCUAUUUCUACCUUCCUACAUACCUGUUGCUAUGUCAAAAUUAAGUGACCAAAUGACUUUCAUGGAGAGGGUAAAAAAAUAUGACCUAUGUGGUUUAUUUUCAAUUUUGGUUCCAAAUAUUUAAUACGAAGAAGUGGAAUCAGUUUUCCAGUGAAGUUCUAGAUAUGGGGUUUCACCAUGUUGGCCAGACUGGUCUCAAACUCCUGACCUCAAGUGAUAUGCCUGCCUCGGCCUUCCAAAGUGCUGGGAUUACAGGCAUGAGUCACCACACCCAGCUGGUAGUGGAGUUUUUUGGAAGACCUACUACCUUAUCUGAGACAAUGGGGAAAGCUGACAUAUGA
rnacentral:lncRNA from 1 species